ACGCUGGCGCGUGCUAUACAUGCAAGUCGAACGAAACUUUCUUACACCGAAUGCUUGCAUUCACCGUAAGAAGUUGAGUGGCGGACGGGUGAGUAACACGUGGGUAACCUGCCUAAAAGAAGGGGAUAACACUUGGAAACAGGUGCUAAUACCGUAUAUCUCUAAGGAUCGCAUGAUCCUUAGAUGAAAGAUGGUUCUGCUAUCGCUUUUAGAUGGACCCGCGGCGUAUUAACUAGUUGGUGGGGUAACGGCCUACCAAGGUGAUGAUACGUAGCCGAACUGAGAGGUUGAUCGGCCACAUUGGGACUGAGACACGGCCCAAACUCCUACGGGAGGCAGCAGUAGGGAAUCUUCCACAAUGGACGCAAGUCUGAUGGAGCAACGCCGCGUGAGUGAAGAAGGUCUUCGGAUCGUAAAACUCUGUUGUUAGAGAAGAACACGAGUGAGAGUAACUGUUCAUUCGAUGACGGUAUCUAACCAGCAAGUCACGGCUAACUACGUGCCAGCAGCCGCGGUAAUACGUAGGUGGCAAGCGUUGUCCGGAUUUAUUGGGCGUAAAGGGAACGCAGGCGGUCUUUUAAGUCUGAUGUGAAAGCCUUCGGCUUAACCGGAGUAGUGCAUUGGAAACUGGAAGACUUGAGUGCAGAAGAGGAGAGUGGAACUCCAUGUGUAGCGGUGAAAUGCGUAGAUAUAUGGAAGAACACCAGUGGCGAAAGCGGCUCUCUGGUCUGUAACUGACGCUGAGGUUCGAAAGCGUGGGUAGCAACAGGAUA
rnacentral:rRNA from 2 species